UACGUAGGGUGCGAGCGUUAAUCGGAAUUACUGGGCGUAAAGUGUGCGCAGGCGGCUCCGCAAGUCGAGUGUGAAAUCCCCGAGCUUAACUUGGGAAUUGCGCUCGAAACUACGGAGCUGGAGUGUGGCAGAGGAAGGUGGAAUUCCACGUGUAGCGGUGAAAUGCGUAGAUAUCAGGAGGAACACCGGUGGCGAAGGCGGCCUUCUGGACGGCUACUGACACUGAGACGCGAAAGCGUGGGGAGCAAACAGG
rnacentral:rRNA from 1 species